rnacentral:rRNA from 1 species
UGAACGCUAGCGGCAGGCCUAACACAUGCAAGUCGAGGGGUAACAUAGAGUGCUUGCACUCUGAUGACGACCGGCGCACGGGUGAGUAACGCGUAUACAAUCUGCCUCAUACUAGGGGAUAGCCCAGAGAAAUUUGGAUUAAUACCCUAUAGUAUCUUUUAGAGUCAUCUCUUUAAGAUUAAAGGUUACGGUAUGAGAUGAGUAUGCGUUCUAUUAGUUAGUAGGUGAGGUAACGGCUCACCUAGACCACGAUAGAUAGGGGCCCUGAGAGGGGGAUCCCCCACACUGGUACUGAGACACGGACCAGACUCCUACGGGAGGCAGCAGUGAGGAAUAUUAGACAAUGGGCGAAAGCCUGAUCUAGCCAUGCCGCGUGCAGGAUGACGGCCCUAUGGGUUGUAAACUGCUUUUAUACAGGAAGAAAAAACUCUACGUGUAGAGUCUUGACGGUACUGUAAGAAUAAGGAUCGGC